rnacentral:rRNA from 1 species
GAAUCGCGAUAAGUAAUGUGAAUUGCAGAUUUUCCGUGAAUCAUCGAAUCUUUGAACGCACCUUGCGCUCCUCGGUAUUCCGAGGAGCAUGCCUGUUUGAGUGUCAUCGAAACAUCAGAUCGAAGCUUUCGACCUCGUCGGAGCUCGGUUUGGACUUGUGGGAGUCUGCGGGCGAACCUCCCGUCGGGGGGGACGUCGGCUCUCCUCAAAAGCAUUAGUGUUGGGUGCGAGCCUCGCGUGGCACGGCCUCUUCGACGUCAUAAUGACCGUCGUGGGCUGGAAGUGCGUGGAUCGUAGAUGCCCGUCGCUCUCCAACUCUGCGAGCCCGGUCCGUCCGGCCGCGUGUUAUCGAAGCUUGACCUCAAAUCAGGUAGGACUACCCGCUGAACUUAA